GAUGAAGAACGCAGCGAAAUGCGAUAAGUAAUGCGAAUUGCAGAAUUCCAGUGAGUCAUCGAAUCUUUGAACGCACAUUGCGCCCUUUGGUAUUCCGAAGGGCAUGCCUGUUCGAGCGUCAUUAUCACCCCUCAAGCCCUCGGCUUGGUGUUGGACGGUUUGGUGGAGGCCCCCUCGGGGGCUCCUGCCCCCCCCAAAGACAAUGACGGCGGCCUCGUUGGACCCCCGGUACACUGAGUUCUUCACGGGACACGUAUCGGACACAUGGGUUUACGGGACACGGUCUGCCUCCCCUCAGGGAGAAUCUUUCUAAGGUUGACCUCGGAUCAGGUAGGGAUACCCGCUGAACUUAAGCAUAUCAAUAAGCGGAGGAA
rnacentral:misc_RNA from 1 species